GAGAGAGAGAUGGACUACAAACUGGGACAGGUAGGAUGGAGAGAGAGAUGGACUACAAACUGGGACAGGUAGGAUGGAGAGAGAGAUGGACUACAAACUGGGACAGGUAGGAUGGAGAGAGAGCUGGACUACAAACUGGGACAGGUAGGAUGGAAGGAGAGAGAGAUGGGGAACAUGGACUACAAACUGGGACAGGUAGGAUGGAGGGAUGGAAGGAGAGAGAGAUGGACUACAAACUGGGACAGGUAGGAUGGAAGGAGAGAGAGAUGGGCAACAUGGACUACAAACUGGGACAGGUAGGAUGGAGGGAUGGAAGGAGAGAGAGAUGGACUACAAACUGGGACAGGUAGGAUGGAGGGAUGGAAGGAGAGAGGGGGCGGAGGAAAGGGAAGACAGACCAAAUGGCAUAGUUGUGUCCUUCUCUUGCAGAUAUGUUCAGUCUCUCUCUCUCUCUCUCUAAUUCCUCUCCUUUAUUGUCUCUCUCUCUCUAAUUCCUCUCCUUUAUUGUCUCUCUCUCUAAUUCCUCUCCUUUAUUGUCUCUCUCUCUAAUUCCUCUCCUUUAUUGUCUCUCUCUCUCUCUAAUUCCUCUCCUUUAUU
ensembl:lncRNA